GGCGGAUGUAGCCAAGUGGAUCAAGGCAGUGGAUUGUGAACC
rnacentral:tRNA from 1 species